GACGAACGCUGGCGGCGUGCUUAACACAUGCAAGUCGAGCGGUAAGGCCCUUCGGGGUACACGAGCGGCGAACGGGUGAGUAACACGUGGGUGACCUGCCUCUAGCUCUGGGAUAAGCCUGGGAAACUGGGUCUAAUACCAGAUAUGACUCCACGGCGCAUGUUGUGGGGUGGAAAGCCUUGUGUGGCUAGAGAUGGGGCCCGCGGCCUAUCAGCUUGUUGGGUGGGGUGAUGGCCUACCAAGGCGACGACGGGUAGCCGGCCUGAGAGGGCGACCGGCCACACUGGGACUGAGACACGGCCCAGACUCCUACGGGAGGCAGCAGUGGGGAAUCUUGCGCAAGUGGGCGAAAGCCUGACGCAGCGACGCCGCGUGAGGGAUGACGGCCUUCGGG
rnacentral:rRNA from 1 species